rnacentral:rRNA from 1 species
ACGCUGGCGGCAGGCUAACACAUGCAAGUCGAGCGAGAUCUUCGGAUCUAGCGGCGGACGGGUGAGUACGCGUGGGAACGUUACCUUUGCUACGGAAUAGCCCCGGGAAACUGGGAGUAAUACCGUAUGUGCCCCCCGAUGUAAGAAUUGGGGGGGAAAGAUUUAUCGGCAAAGGAUCGGCCCGCGUUGGAUUAGGUAGUUGGUGGGGUAAUGGCCUACCAAGCCGACGAUCCAUAGCUGGUUUGAGAGGAUGAUCAACCACACUGGGACUGAAACAAGGCCCAGACUUCCAUGGAGGGCAGCAGUGAGGAAUAUUGGACAAUGGGCGCAAGCUUGAUCCAGCAAUACCAAAUGAGUGAAGAAGGUUUUAAAUUGUAAAGCUCUUGCGUUAAGGAGGAUAAUGACGUGUACUUAAAGAAGAAGCCCUGGCUAACUUCGUG